UGAUUGGUUAUUAGAUAUUAUGACGGUUUCUAAAAUAUAUUGGACAAAAUGUGUUCGUUUGAAAUCGCCUUUUUGGGAUUUUAACCGUAGUGGUAUACUCGAUUAGGAAAUAUAAAAUCACACCGGUACAUGCAUUAAUUAUUCGUGUAACAAACUAACAACGUAAUAUUAUUACUACGCGUGGUUGAAUAAGGUAUAUAUAGUUGUAAUACAAAACAAAAAGGACGGUGGCGGUGACGUCGUGUACCUGGUCCCGUCGGGAAAAAAUUAACGCGCCGCCGA